CGCCAGACUCCUACGGGAGGCAGCAGUGGGGAAUAUUGCACAAUGGGGGAAACCCUGAUGCAGCGACGCCGCGUGAGUGAAGAAGUAUUUCGGUAUGUAAAGCUCUAUCAGCAGGGAAGAAAAUGACGGUACCUGACUAAGAAGCCCCGGCUAACUACGUGCCAGCAGCCGCGGUAAUACGUAGGGGGCAAGCGUUAUCCGGAUUUACUGGGUGUAAAGGGAGCGUAGACGGCAUGGCAAGUCAGAUGUGAAAGCCCGGGGCUCAACCCCGGGACUGCAUUUGAAACUGUCAGGCUGGAGUGCAGGAGAGGUAAGUGGAAUUCCUAGUGUAGCGGUGAAAUGCGUAGAUAUUAGGAGGAACACCAGUGGCGAAGGCGGCUUACUGGACGGUAACUGACGUUGAGGCUCGAAAGCGUGGGGAGCAAACAGGAUUAGAUACCCCAGUAU
rnacentral:rRNA from 1 species